CGUUCUAUGGCCAAAUUGGUAAGGGCAUCGCCGAUCACAGCCGAUGAUGCGGGUUCGAGUCCCGCUGGAACGG
rnacentral:tRNA from 1 species